ensembl:lncRNA
CUUUCUUUCAGCAAUUAUAGAGCCCCUGGGAACACAGUUGUGAAUAAACUGCAGAAGCUUGUAAUCCACUGUGGGUGACAGCCACCCAACAACAGCCAUCUGAAUGAUUACAAGAGAGCAAAACCCUACUCAGGGGAGGGCCAGGACCCACUGGAAGUCUAUUUACCUUCGUGGACUCCCCGGAUAUCUCAAGGAAGCUGGUGGGACCAUUCCACGCAUUUUCUCUUUGAACCGAGAAGUUAUAUUUAGUCCAAAUGAGAUGGCACAGUUGCUGGAGGCAGAGUGGGGCUGGAUGAGUGAGUGGGGAUAUUCUGAAGAUCAUUCUGUAAAGCUGGCCUUAAACCUGAAGUUACCCCUGCUGACCCCUGGCGCUUACUUGGGAACAUUUGAAGGACGCUCCAUUCAGGGCCUGAACCCAGGCAUGAGAACAGAGGAAAAGAGAAAAUAAACCCCAACUUUAUCACUUCAGACUUGGAACUCAGAAAAACUUUGACUCCAGUUUGGGAUGAAGUCAGAAUGGAUUCUUUUGCUCAUAUCUGCACAACCUUCUUUCAAAGAAGAGGGGGGGGGGGAAAAAGUCC